CUUGACUGGGUUCGCGUUAGGUGCACAACACUCGAGCGGAAACGAGUUAACUGAACCUUCGGGGAACGUUAACGGCGUCGAGCGGCGGACGGGUGAGUAAUGCCUGGGAAUAUGCCUUGAUGUGGGGGAUAACCAUUGGAAACGAUGGCUAAUACCGGUAAAUAGCUUCGUCUCAGAGAGGGAGAUCUUCGGGCCUCUCGCGUCAAGAUUAGCCCAGGGGGGUAUUAGCUAGUUGGGGGAGGUAAUGGCUCACCAAGGCGACGAUCCCUAGCUGGUCUGAGAGGAUGAUCAGCCACACUGGAACUGAGACACGGUCCAGACUCCUACGGGAGGCAGCAGUGGGGAAUAUUGCACAAUGGGCGCAAGCCUGAUGCAGCCAUGCCGCGUGUGUGAAGAAGGCCUUCGGGUUGUAAAGCACUUUCAGUCGUGAGGAAGGUAGUGUAGUUAAUAACUGCAUUAUUUGACGUUAGCGACAGAAGACGCACCGGCUAACUCCGUGCCAGCAGCCGCGGUAAUACGGAGGGUGCGAGCGUUAAUCGGAAUUACUGCGCGUAAAGCGCAUGCCGGGUGGUUCGUUAAGUCAGAUGUGAAAGCCCGGGGCUCAACCUCGGAACUGCAUUUGAAACUGGCGGACUAGAGUACUGUAGAGGGGGGGAGAAUUUCAGGUGUAGCGAGAAAUGCAUAGAGAUCUGAAGGAAUACCAGUGCGAAGGCUGCCCCCUGACAGAUACUGACCACUCAGAUGCGAAAGGCUGGGGAGCAACAGGAUUAGAUACCCUGGUAGUCCACGCUGUAAACGAUGUCUACUUGGAGGUUAGUGCCUCGACCCGUUGCUUUCCGGAGCUAACGGCGUAAGUUAGACCCGCUGGAGUAGGGUCCCGAGAAUUAAAACCUCAAAUGAUGACGGGGGCCCCGCCACAGCCGUUGGCGCCAAGUGUCUUAAUUCGAUGGCACCCGAAGAACCUUACCUACUCUGGGCUCCAGAGAACCUAGCCGAAUUGCUUGGGGCCUCGGAACUCUGGAAACAUGACCGAAUGCUUCUCACGCCUGAGUGGAAUAGUGGUAAGUCCGACAGGGCCACCUAAACUUGUGGCAGCCAUAUAUGGGCAAUCCCAGGAGA
rnacentral:rRNA from 1 species